CCUACGGGAGGCAGCAGUCGAGAAUCAUUCACAAUGGGGGAAACCCUGAUGGUGCGACGCCGCGUGGGGGAAUGAAGGUCUUCGGAUUGUAAACCCCUGUCAUGUGGGAGCAAAUUAAAAAGAUAGUACCACAAGAGGAAGAGACGGCUAACUCUGUGCCAGCAGCCGCGGUAAUACAGAGGUCUCAAGCGUUGUUCGGAAUCACUGGGCGUAAAGCGUGCGUAGGCUGUUUCGUAAGUCGUGUGUGAAAUGUGCGGGCUCAACCCGCGGACGGCACAUGAUACUGCGAGACUAGAGUAAUGGAGGGGGAACCGGAAUUCUCGGUGUAGCAGUGAAAUGCGUAGAUAUCGAGAGGAACACUCGUGGCGAAGGCGGGUUCCUGGACAUUAACUGACGCUGAGGCACGAAGGCCAGGGGAGCGAAAGGGAUUAGAUACCCCUGUAGUC
rnacentral:rRNA from 1 species